rnacentral:rRNA from 1 species
CCUACGGGUGGCAGCAGUGGGGAAUAUUGCACAAUGGGGGAAACCCUGAUGCAGCGACGCCGCGUGAGCGAUGAAGUAUUUCGGUAUGUAAAGCUCUAUCAGCAGGGAAGAAAAUGACGGUACCUGACUAAGAAGCACCGGCUAACUACGUGCCAGCAGCCGCGGUAAUACGUAGGGAGCAAGCGUUAUCCGGAUUUACUGGGCGUAAAGGGAGCGUAGACGGCGGUGCAAGCGAGAUGUGAAAGCGCGGGGCUCAACCCCGGGACUGCAGUUGAAACUGUGCUGCUAGAGUGUCGGAGAGGCAUGCGGAAUGCGUGGUGUAGCGGUGAAAUGCGUAGAUAUUAGGAGGAACACCAGUGGCGAAGGCAGCCUGCUGGACGAUGACUGACGUUGAGGCUCGAAAGCGUGGGGAGCAAACAGGAUUAGAUACCCGAGUAGUC